AUACGUAGGUGGCAAGCGUUGUCCGGAUUUACUGGGUGUAAAGGGCGCGUAGGCGGGAUUGCAAGUCAGGUGUGAAAUCUAUGGGCUCAACCCAUAAAUUGCACUUGAAACUGUAGUUCUUGAGUAUCGGAGAGGCAGAUGGAAUUCCUAGUGUAGCGGUGAAAUGCGUAGAUAUUAGGAGGAACACCAGUGGCGAAGGCGAUCUGCUGGACGACAACUGACGCUGAGGCGCGAAAGCGUGGGGAGCAAACAGGAUUAGAUCCCCGGGUAGUCCACGCCGUAAACGAUGAAUACUAGGUGUGGGGGGACUGACCCCCUCCGUGCCGCAGUUAACACAAUAAGUAUUCCACCUGGGGAGUACGACCGCAAGGUUGAAACUUAAAGGAAUUGACGGGG
rnacentral:rRNA from 1 species